CUUUGAGUUCUUAGAGAGUUGCUGAAGCACAAAAAUGAUUUUGCACCUGAGUUGUAAAGUUCCAGAAUCUGUAGGAGGGGCAGAACAAAGUUAAGUGUCCGCGCUGGGCAAGAAGGACACACAGACAUACGUGAUCCAGAGUUUCUGAGCCUAAAAGGAAGCAGAAGGUGCCUAUGUAGGAGGCUGCCAAGGGUGGAGAAUCAGAAUGUGGAGGUGUGAGGAGCAUGUCAAUGCUCAAGGACAGCCUUGCACAGGGUAUCAAAGAGCAUGCAACCUUCAGACUCGUUUGCUGGUCACUGCGCUUCACCACACCUGCUUUCUUAUUAAGUUGCGAACUGGAAAGCCGCCUGUAUCACCUACUAGCCAAAAGGAGAAUUUCUUUAACAAAAUGUAAA